AAUUGAAGAGUUUGAUCAUGGCUCAGAUUGAACGCUGGCGGCAGGCCUAACACAUGCAAGUCGAACGGUAGCACAGAGAGCUUGCUCUCGGGUGACGAGUGGCGGACGGGGUGAGUAAUGUCUGGGAAACUGCCUGAUGGAGGGGGAUAACUACUGGAAACGGUAGCUAAUACCGCAUAACGUCGCAAGACCAAAAGAGGGGGGACCUUCGGGCCUCUUGCCAUCAGAUGUGCCCAGAUGGGAUUAGCUAGUAGGUGGGGGUAACGGCUCACCUAGGCGACGAUCCCUAGCUGGUCUGAGAGGAUGACCAGCACACUGGAACUGAGACACGGUCCAGACUCCUACGGGGAGGCAGCAGUGGGGGAAUAUUUGCACAAUGGGGCGCAAGCCUGAUGCAGCCAUGCCGCGUGUAUGAAGAAGGCCUCGGGUUGUAAAGUACUUUCAGCGGGGAGGAAGGUGUUGWGGUUAAUAACCWCAGCAAUUGACGUUACCC
rnacentral:rRNA from 1 species